rnacentral:rRNA from 1 species
AACGAACGCUGGCGGCAGGCCUAACACAUGCAAGUCGAGCGCCCCGCAAGGGGAGCGGCGGACGGGUGAGUAACGCGUGGGAAUAUGCCCUUUGCUACGGAAUAGUCUCGGGAAACUGGGGGUAAUACCGUAUACGCCCUUUGGGGGAAAGGUUUAUCGGCGAAGGAUUAGCCCGCGUUGGAUUAGGUAGUUGGUGGGGUAAUGGCCUACCAAGCCGACGAUCCAUAGCUGGUUUGAGAGGAUGAUCAGCCACACUGGGACUGAGACACGGCCCAGACUCCUACGGGAGGCAGCAGUGGGGAAUCUUAGACAAUGGGGGCAACCCUGAUCUAGCCAUGCCGCGUGAGUGAUGAAGGCCUUAGGGUUGUAAAGCGCUUUCAGCUGGGAAGAUAAUGACGGUACCAGCAGAAGAAGCCCCGGCUAACUCCGUG